GACGAACGCUGGCGGCGUGCCUAAUACAUGCAAGUAGAACGCUGAAGAGAGGAGCUUGCUCUUCUUGGAUGAGUUGCGAACGGGUGAGUAACGCGUAGGUAACCUGCCUUGUAGCGGGGGAUAACUAUUGGAAACGAUAGCUAAUACCGCAUAGCAAUGGAUGACACAUGUCAUUUAUUUGAAAGGGGCAAUUGCUCCACUACAAGAUGGACCUGCGUUGUAUUAGCUAGUAGGUGAGGUAAUGGCUCACCUAGGCGACGAUACAUAGCCGACCUGAGAGGGUGAUCGGCCACACUGGGACUGAGACACGGCCCAGACUCCUACGGGAGGCAGCAGUAGGGAAUCUUCGGCAAUGGGGGCAACCCUGACCGAGCAACGCCGCGUGAGUGAAGAAGGUUUUCGGAUCGUAAAGCUCUGUUGUAAGUCAAGAACGGGUGUGAGAGUGGAAAGUUCACACUGUGACGGUAGCUUACCAGAAAGGGACGGCUAACUACGUG
rnacentral:rRNA from 1 species